GUACAACAUAUUUUCUGAAUUGCUAUUAGGACCCCCAUGGUUUUAGAUAUUGCACAAUAGCCCUUGGGAAACUUCCUCCUAAUUUCCUAGUAUAAGCCAAGGAAGAUUCCUCCUCUUUCCUUCUCUAUUUUCCCUACGGGAAUUCCGAGAAGAAAGGAAAUUUUGGGUCUUCACUCUUCUUCCUCCCAUCCCUCGGCAGCCUCACCCCGAAGAUUCAACGAGAACUCAUCAAAGUUUCCCCUUCUUUCUUGGGAAGUUUCACAUCUAAUUAAUGGGAUUAAUUUCCCUAUAUAAUCCGCAGACUAUCGAGAGGAUCAGAGGGGGGGGAUAGCUCCAAGUUCAGCCCCAACAGCCUUCAGCCAAAGCUCCGAGAAUCUCCUUCGGUUUCCUCUUCUUCCUUGUAUUCGAUUUUCUUCAAAGAGGAAGUCAGAAUCUUAAAUGGCUAUCGGUCGAGUAGACACGGAAAUACGGAGGGGCCGGUAUUCCAACUACGGUACUAUAGACUAUAGAGUGGAUAGCUUCCAUUAAUAAACGGGCUCAGAAUAUCGACGUCUAUUACCGAUAACCAUGUUAUGAAUCUGAUAGGUAUCCCGUCAUAUUGCAUCUAUACGUUUAAAUUGUUAAUACUGACUAUGGGGACUUUAUGUCUAUAUGUGCUACGGCUAUUGGGUCGUUGCAUCCCCAUGUUAAUACAAUUUUUUGUAUAUGUGAAUACACUUUGUGAGUAUACGUUAAGCAGGGAAGCUCUUCGUCCAUGUCGAGGUCGAGGUUCUCGAAACGGUUAUGGAGGCUAGCGGAGCAGAGUUCGAGGAAUUUCGAGACUUUAUGCAAAUCGAGUGUUUUAAAGGAUUAUAAUAGUCAAUUUCGUUUUAAGUGUUUAAUAUGAGAAGUUGAUAAAUACUUUUAUAAUGUACUCUGAUUUAGGAAUCUAGUCUAUUAAACCGGGGUGUAUGUAAAAUAAAGUUACUUUAUCUUCCGCUGUAUUACAAGUAUUGCUUUAAAACCCCGUCUAUGUUGAAGUAGCACUCUUUAUGAAAAUUCUAGUUCAAGUGUGGGUUAUGUUUUGAAGAAAGAAAAAUGCUUUGACGAUUUCCAAAC